rnacentral:rRNA from 1 species
UAGGGAAUCUUCCGCAAUGGACGCAAGUCUGACGGAGCAACGCCGCGUGAGUGAAGAAGGAUUUCGGUUCGUAAAACUCUGUUGUUAGAGAAGAACAGCGCAUAGAGUAACUGUUAUGCGUGUGACGGUAUCUAACCAGAAAGCCACGGCUAACUACGUGCCAGCAGCCGCGGUAAUACGUAGGUGGCAAGCGUUGUCCGGAUUUAUUGGCGUAAAGCGAGCGCAGGCGGUCAAUUAAGUCUGAUGUGAAAGCCCCCGGCUCAACCGGGGAGGGUCAUUGGAAACUGGUUGACUUGAGUGCAGAAUAGGAGAGUGGAAUUCCAUGUGUAGCAGUGAAAUGCGUAGAUAUAUGGAGGAACACCAGUGGCGAAGGCGACUCUCUGGUCUGUAACUGACGCUGAGGUUCGAAAGCGUGGGUAGCAAACAGG